rnacentral:rRNA from 1 species
UACAGAGGUCUCAAGCGUUGUUCGGAUUCAUUGGGCGUAAAGGGUGCGUAGGCGGCGCGGUAAGUCGGGUGUGAAAUCUCGGAGCUUAACUCCGAAACUGCAUUCGAUACUGCCGUGCUUGAGGACUGGAGAGGAGACUGGAAUUUACGGUGUAGCGGUGAAAUGCGUAGAUAUCGUAAGGAAGACCAGUGGCGAAGGCGGGUCUCUGGGCCGAUACUGACGCUGAGGAGCGAAGGUCAGGGGAGCAAACGGG